UAGGGAAUCUUCCGCAAUGGACGAAAGUCUGACGGAGCAACGCCGCGUGAGUGAAGAAGGAUUUCGGUUCGUAAAACUCUGUUGUUAGGGAAGAAAAAAUGUAUAGUAACUAUAUACAAAAGAGACGGUACCUAACCAGAAAGCCACGGCUAACUACGUGCCAGCAGCCGCGGUAAUACGUAGGUGGCAAGCGUUGUCCGGAAUUAUUGGGCGUAAAGCGCGCGCAGGUGGUUUAGAAAGUCUGAUGUGAAAGCCCACGGCUCAACCGUGGAGGGUCAUUGGAAUCUAAUAAACUUGAGUGCAGGAGAGAAAAGUGGAAUUCCUAGUGUAGCGGUGAAAUGCGUAGAGAUUAGGAGGAACACCGGUAGCGAAAGCGGCUUUUUGGCCUGCAACUGACACUGAGGCGCGAAAGCGUGGGGAGCAAACAGG
rnacentral:rRNA from 1 species